UUAACAUUUCUCACAACAGCCCUCCCUCUGGUCACACCUCCACUCACAACCCAAAAUUUAAAGUGUCCCUCUUUUGCCAUUUGAAAAGUUGGGAGAUAAGUCCAGGUAGCAGUGUGUCAUCUGUCCCAUAGGCUGACAUUAUAAGAGGUAAAGUCUUCUGGCAAAGGUACUAGGUACCAGAGUUAUGAAGUAGUCCGUGUCAAAUUUUUACCAUUUCCCUGGGACUUACAAAGCAGAUGAGUUCAGUCAUGUAGUCCAGGAUAAACUCAUGAUUGACAUUAUGGUAGAAGACUCUCCUGUACCUGUGAUUACUUUGUCCAAAGAAAACGAUAGCUUAAAGAUGAACUAGAAAUGAAUAAUUAUAUUCAAGAUCACUUUUUCCCACUUUUUGUGCCAUAAGGAUGUGCAAUGCUUUAUUAACCACAUUUUGUGGAAAGGUUCUCCAGGUUACAUGUUCACAUGGUGGCUUCAAAUGUGAGUCAGUUUUCUGCAAAACAGAACAUUUUCAUGUAGGAAGCCUGGGCUAUUGUGUUCAAGUACAAUCACUCAUUAUCUUCUCAAGUACAUAUGUUCGGAUGGAUAUCAUUGUACAAAUCCAUUACGGGCAGUUAUUUGUCACAAUAUCGAGGUAGCUGGAUUGAUGAAUAUAAAUGGCUAUUUGUGGAAC